rnacentral:sRNA from 1 species
AAAGGAGAGAAUCUGCUGCAGCAGACGCUGGCUUUGCUCUCUUUGAGAAGAAGGUAAUAGCAGGAAUGGCCAGUACGUCAUGAUGGGAACUUACCUAAAACUUGAGUCUCAUGGCUUGUCCUCUGUUUCCCAGGGAGCCUUAGCUGAAAGGCAGCAGCUCAUCCCAGAAUUGGUGCGAAAUGGAGAUGAGGAGAAUCCCCUCAAAAGGGGUCUGGUUGCUGCUUACAGUGGUGACAGUGACAAUGAGGAGGAGCUGGUGGAGAGACUUGAGAGUGAGGAAGAAAAGCUAGCUGACUGGAAGAAGAUGGCCUGUCUGCUCUGCCGGCGUCAGUUCCCGAACAAAGAUGCCCUAGUCAGGCACCAGCAACUCUCAGACCUUCACAAGCAAAACAUGGACAUCUACCGACGAUCCAGGCUGAGCGAGCAGGAGCUGGAAGCCUUGGAGCUAAGGGAGAGAGAGGUGAAUGGGAAACUGUGCCACAAGGAAGAGGAUAUUGGGAUAAUCGCCUUUAGCUUUUAUUUGUAGCAUUUAGUUCCAGAUCCCAGGGGCAGGGUAGAAGGAUUUGUCAUACCCUUGUCAUCUGACCAUUGUAGUUCAUGUAGCCUAGACCCAGGCUCUGUGUGCCUCGUGAGCCUCACAUUGUCCCUUCAUCAUAAGGG